rnacentral:snRNA from 1 species
AUUGCCUCUAUGUGUUCCCGCUUUUGAUAACAACUCUCUAUUCUUAUUAUCUUACUAUGCGAUACGGAUUCUAUUUAUAUCCAAGAUAAUAAACUUAAAUUUGCAAUAUGGAACAAAGCUUGAAGCUUGCUUCGACUCCGCCACGGGUUGCCCCAGUAUUUCACGAUCUCCGGGAUUGGCCCACUCGCC